rnacentral:rRNA from 1 species
GCAGCAGUGGGGAAUAUUGGACAAUGGGCGAAAGCCUGAUCCAGCAAUGCCGCGUGAGUGAUGAAGGCCUUAGGGUUGUAAAGCUCUUUUACCCGGGAUGAUAAUGACAGUACCGGGAGAAUAAGCCCCGGCUAACUCCGUGCCAGCAGCCGCGGUAAUACGGAGGGGGCUAGCGUUGUUCGGAAUUACUGGGCGUAAAGCGCGCGUAGGCGGCUUUGUAAGUUAGAGGUGAAAGCCCGGAGCUCAACUCCGGAAUUGCCUUUAAGACUGCAUCGCUAGAAUCAUGGAGAGGUGAGUGGAAUUCCGAGUGUAGAGGUGAAAUUCGUAGAUAUUCGGAAGAACACCAGUGGCGAAGGCGACUCACUGGACAUGUAUUGACGCUGAGGUGCGAAAGCGUGGGGAGCAAACAGGAUUAGAUAC